rnacentral:rRNA from 1 species
UACGUAGGGCGCAAGCGUUGUCCGGAAUUACUGGGCGUAAAGCGUGCGUAGGUGGUUUGUUAAGUCUGCUGUGAAAGCCCCGGGCUCAACCUGGGAAUGGCAGUGGAUACUGGCAAGCUAGAGUGCGGUAGAGGGUAGUGGAAUUCCCGGUGUAGCGGUGAAAUGCGUAGAGAUCGGGAGGAACACCAGUGGCGAAGGCGGCUACCUGGACCAGCACUGACACUGAGGCACGAAAGCGUGGGGAGCAAACAGG